UACGUAGGGGCCUAGCGUUGUCCGGAUUUAUUGGGCGUAAAGAGCUCGUAGGCGGUUCGGUAAGUCAGGUGUGAAAUCUCCACGCUCAACGUGGAGGCGCCACCUGAAACUGCCGUGACUCGAGUCCGGUAGGGGAGUGUGGAAUUCCUGGUGUAGCGGUGAAAUGCGCAGAUAUCAGGAGGAACACCGGUGGCGAAGGCGGUUCUCUGGGCAUGACCUGACGCUGAGGAGCGAAAGUGUGGGGAGCGAACAGG
rnacentral:rRNA from 1 species